rnacentral:rRNA from 1 species
UACGGAGGUGGCAAGCGUUGCUCGGAUUCACUGGGUGUAAAGGGCAAGCAGGCGGCCGGGUAAGUCGGGUGUGAAAUCCCACGGCUCAACCGUGGAAUGGCGCUCGAAACUGCCCGGCUUGAGGACAGCAGAGGCGAACGGAAUUCCCGGUGUAAGGGUGAAAUCUGUAGAGAUCGGGAGGAACACCAGUGGCGAAGGCGGUUCGCUGGGCUGUCCCUGACGCUGAGAGGCGAAAGCUAGGGGAGCAAACAGG